AUGUGGUUUAAUUCGAAGCAACGCGAAGAACCUUACCAGGUCUUGACAUCGAUCUAAAGGCUCCAGAGAUGGAGAGAUAGCUAUAGAGAAGACAGGUGGUGCAUGGUUGUCGUCAGCUCGUGUCGUGAGAUGUUGGGUUAAGUCCCGCAACGAGCGCAACCCCUGUUGCCAGUUGCCAGCAUUAAGUUGGGGACUCUGGCGAGACUGCCGGUGACAAGCCGGAGGAAGGCGGGGAUGACGUCAAAUCAUCAUGCCCCUUAUGACCUGGGCUACACACGUGCUACAAUGGACAGAGCAGAGGGAAGCGAAGCCGCGAGGUGGAGCGAAACCCAUAAAACUGUUCUCAGUUCGGACUGCAGUCUGCAACUCGACUGCACGAAGAUGGAAUCGCUAGUAAUCGCGAAUCAGCAUGUCGCGGUGAAUACGUUCUCGGGCCUUGUACACACCGCCCGUCACACCAUGAGAGUCGGUAACACCCGAAGCCGGUGGCCUAACCGCAAGGAAGGAGCUGUCUAAGGUGGGACUGAUGAUUGGGGUGAAGUCGUAACAAGGUAUCCCUACGGGAACGUGGGGAUGGAUCACCUCCUUU
rnacentral:ncRNA from 1 species